rnacentral:rRNA from 1 species
AGUGAACGCUGGCGGUAGGCCUAACACAUGCAAGUCGAACGGCAGCACAGUAAGAGCUUGCUCUUACGGGUGGCGAGUGGCGGACGGGUGAGGAAUACAUCGGAAUCUACUUUUUCGUGGAGGAUAACGUAGGGAAACUUACGCUAAUACCGCAUACGAUCUACGGGUGAAAGCAGGGGAUCUUCGGACCUUGCGCGACUGAAUGAGCCGAUGUCGGAUUAGCUAGUUGGCGGGGUAAAGGCCCACCAAGGCGACGAUCCGUAGCUGGUCUGAGAGGAUGAUCAGCCACACUGGAACUGAGACACGGUCCAGACUCCUACGGGAGGCAGCAGUGGGGAAUAUUGGACAAUGGGCGCAAGCCUGAUCCAGCCAUACCGCGUGGGUGAAGAAGGCCUUCGGGUUGUAAAGCCCUUUUGUUGGGAAAGAAAAGCAGCAGGUUAAUACCCCGCUGUUCUGACGGUACCCAAAGAAUAAGCACCGGCUAACUUCGUG